AUUGCUUCUCGGCCUUUUGGCUAAGAUCAAGCGUAGUAUUUGUUUUUAUCAGUUUAAUAUCUGAUACGUCCUCUAUCCGAGGACAAUAUAUUAAAUGGAUUUUUGGAGCCGGGAGAUGGAAUAGAAGCUUGCUCUGUCCACUCCACGCAUCGACCUGGUAUUGCAGUACCUCCAGGAACGGUGCACCCCUC